rnacentral:rRNA from 1 species
GACGAACCGUGCAAACGUUAUUCGGAAUCACUGGGCUUAAAGCGUGCGUAGGCGGCUCAGAAAGUUGGGUGUGAAAUGCCUCGGCUCAACCGAGGAAUUGCGCCCAAAACUACUGGGCUUGAGGGAGUUAGAGGUGAGCGGAACUCACGGUGGAGCGGUGAAAUGCGUUGAUAUCGUGAGGAACACCGGAGGCGAAAGCGGCUCACUGGGGCUUCACUGACGCUGAGGCACGAAAGCUAGGGGAGCAAACGGG